rnacentral:miRNA from 1 species
GUGUGUGUGUGUGUGUGUGUGUGUGUGUGUGUGUGUGUAUAUAUAUAUACCAGUUUAUACACACACACACACACACACACACACACAA